AGUGUAAUUGUUGGGUCAUAUGGUACUUGCCUGAUAAUUUUUAUGAGAAACUUCCAAAUUGUUUAUCACAGUAGUGUUACUAUUGUAUAUUCCCAUCAGCACU
rnacentral:pre_miRNA from 1 species